rnacentral:rRNA from 1 species
GAUGAACGCUGACAGAAUGCUUAACACAUGCAAGUCCACUUGAAUUUGGGUUUUUUAACUUAGAUUUGGGUGGCGGACGGGUGAGUAACGCGUAAAGAACUUGCCUCACAGCUAGGGACAACAUUUGGAAACGAAUGCUAAUACCUGAUAUUAUGAUUAUAAGGCAUCUUAGAAUUAUGAAAGCUAUAUGCGCUGUGAGGGAGCUUUGCGUCCCAUUAGCUAGUUGGAGAGGUAACGGCUCACCAAGGCGAUGAUGGGUAGCCGGCCUGAGAGGGUGAACGGCCACAAGGGGACUGAGACACGGCCCUUACUCCUACGGGAGGCAGCAGUGGGGAAUAUUGGACAAUGGACCAAGAGUCUGAUCCAGCAAUUCUGUGUGCACGAUGACGUUUUUCGGAAUGUAAAGUGCUUUCAGUUGGGAAGAAAAAAAUGACGGUACCAACAGAAGAAGUGACGGCUAAAUACGUG